AAAUCAUUUCCUAUAUGAUUCAUUCAAUCCAUUUACAGGGUGGAAAGUAUGGAAAAAUUUAUUAAGUUUGUUUAUGUUCUAUUCAUAUAUUUUUCUCUUCUUAUUUUUACACCCAUCGUCAAUGGGGGAGCAAUUAAGUGUGAAACUGUUGCUGAUUGUCCAAAUAAUUUGUGUGCGCGUGGUUUAACACAGAAGUGUUAUUUUAAACGUUGUAUAUGUGUUUGAAUAACUACUCGUAUGAUAUGAGUGAUAAACCAAUAAAGUAUAAAAAAUUAAUAUUGUGUUAGAAUAUUCAAUGAGUUGGCCCCUAAUAAUUUAAUUUAAUUUAAUUUUAGAUAUCUUGCUUUGAAUUUGUACUUUGAGGUUAUAUUAAUAAUGUGAAUUGGCAUAAAAAUAUAAUACAGAUUUUUUUUUGUCUCUCAUAAUUUUUUAUCAUAUUGAAAACUUGAGUUUCAAAUCAAGUGAUUACAAUGGAUCCUGUACAUACUUCUCCCAUUUCUAACUCGAUGGUUUAUUCAAACUCCAAAUGAUGAUGGACACCUUAUUUCCGAGGUGGGUUUUUUUGGGGUUUUGAUGGGCCACACUAUAGAGUAAGAUUGUCCACACUAUAGAAAAUUCAACAAGGAUUUACUCUUUUGGAUGUGAUGUAGAAUACAUUCUCAUGCUCUUACUAAGUUCGGCAUUUGAGUGCUAACCUAGCAGGUCAGCCCCUUCUCCGUCGCACUAGAAGCUCAACUCCACCGUAGUAAAACAUCACCUCCUCCUUCACAGAAAGAUCUUGUUCCUAAAUAGAACACGAACGCCGCCUAUGGAAAACUAUCUCUGAUUUACUCGAAUUUAUAUGAAAAACUACAUUUUUCGUCGAAGAUCUAAAUCUUUGAUUUUCAUCAGCUGAAUCAUUGAUCCAUUCUCCCGUUAUUUUGAUAUCAACUUUCUAAGAUUAUGUCAACAUCAAGAAACACUCGAUUUGCAAAAGAUGAUGCAACCAUAGCUCAAUCACUUCCUCUAGAAGUUGAAGAUCCAGUCAUAGUGACCUCUUCAUCUUAUCCAAUGCUGGAAGAUCUGAUUCCCUCAAGAGUCCUCUAGAAAACAAUCCAAGGAAAGCCAUCAAAUCACAGUCCCUUCCAACCCCUAGCACUUGGACAUGAGGCAUUUCCCGAUCUUCAACUAUUGUAAGUCAGUCUAGGCGUGUAAGGAGCACCUGA